AUUUCAUUCCACGUCCGUGGUUCAUUCUCUAGUCUUUACUGCUUUAAAGUUUUUUUACUUUCUUUACUAGCUUAGUGUGUUUUGUACGCCGACCGGCCCGACCAUGGGUCGUGUUGGUGGGCGGAUUUUUCUUUGUUGGGUUGCCUCUAUAGAAUAAAUUGACAUCCUCGCCCUUUCCAUUGGCAUUUGGCUGUUUGGAGUUUAAAUUGGGUCCCUUGCUUUCAGUUCUUGACAUCUAAACGCUAACGUGUCCGACUACCAUUUAUCUGUCACGUGCACAUUUCAAAUUUGUGUUAGCUUCUCGCGACCAGGGUGUACGCCAUCUCAAUGCUUAUCUUCCGACUGAUGCGGUUUCGGUGCCGUCACCAUUUCUUUAUUCAGAAUCACCGCAUAACUCAUUAGCAUAGAUCAAUAGUCCAGUAGUUGCAGAAUGACGUCCGCCUCGACGAAAAACUAUUUGGUUCUUUAAGAUAGCAAGUAUCAAUUUAUUACAUCACUCAUCAGUUGUUUGGAUAAUUGAAGUAGUACAUGCUCUAAUAGUUUUCUAUACAGUUUUGCAUAUUUAAAUAAAAUCAAAUUUUCUUUUUAUGUGUUGUUCCGUUGCUGACCAUAUUGUAAAAUGUAUUAUCCUAAGCUGCUGUUCAAUGAGAAAUAAUUUGAGUUAAAAAGAUCAAUAUCUUAAGGCUUAAAUUGUUUCAAGAUCGUAUUAUCAUCCAUAUUUUAUUUCUUUUCUUUGCAAACUAUCAAAGUUUAUUUUCAUAAUAUGGCGGUGCUUGUAGAAACAGCUACAAGUUUACUUGACAAUGACUGCUCUACUAUUUGUAUCGCAGAACACAUCUCGCCUGUAUUCGUUACAACAUAAUUCAGUGGUAUAAAGCAGGCACUAAGAUCAGACCAAAUUCCUCCAGGAUGCUGGUCAAACUUGAGUGUGCUUGCCAAACAUAAUCAAUAUUCACUUUAUGGUGCAAUAGUUGUAUAGAAUAAAACAAAUAUAAGUUAAUAUACAUUGUAAUAGAAAUACAAACAUAAUUUUUAAUAUCCAAGAAAUAAUAAUUGGUGUCAACACUUUUUACCACUUAGUGUUUUGGAGACAGUUUUUAAUUGUAUCUAGCUUGACUUAAUAUUUAAGUAAAUUUUUAUUCAUUUAUGUCACUUAUGUUAAUUUGUAUUGAUUUAUAUGAAAUGUAUGUUAUUGUGAAAAAAAAUAAUACUUAUGAUAUAUUAAUAUUAUGUUGGUCAAUUUUCAACAAUAAUGUAUAUUCAACUUUAUUUUAUUGUGUGGUACUGUGGUUAUUACAAGUUGAAGCUAUUUAUGUGUAAUUUUUUUUUUUUUAUAUAAUUGUAUGUAUUAUUACUACAUUUUUUGAAUUCUUGAAUUUUACAAAACCUAUUUGGUAAAUUUUAGAAAGCUUCUUAUAACACCUAUACCUAUAAUACUCUUACAAUAUAUUGUUAAUUAGAAUUUAAAUACAUAAAGCUUCAUUUUGACUCCAAAAUUAGGUCACCCUUUAAAAUGUAACAAUGCAGUUCAAAGAUUAUGUAAAUUAAUCAUGUUAAAAAUGGAUGUCUAAAUAAAAAUAUAUUAAAAAUUUAA